rnacentral:lncRNA from 1 species
CAAUACUUUUAGUUUUCGCACUCUAACUUUAGUAAAAGUGAAUAGAAAUCAAUGAAAUUUUAACACAAGGUUUAUGACCACAAAAGGAAGGUUGGGAUUGAUUUUGGGAGUUUUGGUCCCAACAUUUUAGGAAUUAAGGGCCAAAAAGGGCCCAAAUAAGCAUUUUCUUGGUUUUCGCACUAUAACUUUAGUUUAAGUGAAUAGAAAUCUAUGAAAUUUUGACACAAGGUUUAUGACCACAAAAGGAAGGUUGGGAUUGAGUUUUGGUUCCAACAGUUUAUGAAUUAGGGGCCAAAAAGGGCCCAAAUAAGCAUUUUCUUGGUUUUCGCACUAUAACUUUAGUAUAAGUAAAUAGAAAUCUAUGAAAUUUAAACACAAGGUUUAUGACCAUAAAAGGAAGGUUAGAUUUGAUUUUGGGAGUUUUGGUCCUAACAGUUUAGGAAUAAGGGGCCCAAAGGGUCCAAAAUUGAACUUUGUGUGAUUUCAUCAAAAAUUGAAUAAUUGGGGUUCUUUGAUAUGCCGAAUCUAACUAUGUAUGUAGAUUCUUAAUUUUUGGUCCCGUUUUCAAAUUGGUCUACAUUAAGGUCCAAAGGGUCCAAAAUUAAACUUAGUUUGAUUUUAACAAAAAUUGAAUCCUUUGGGUUCUUUGAUAUGCUGAAUUUAAAAAUGUACUUAGAUUUUUAAUUAUUGGCCUAGUUUUC